GUAUGGCGUGUGCGUGCCAGGUGCGGAGGGUUCUCAUUUUAAACUUCCAACAGCUUUGUGGGUGGAGGGGUCGUUAUUCUGAUUUUACAGGUGGGGAAGUGCUAGGGCCCAGAGAGGUUUAGAGACUUGCUGGCUCUCACAGCCAGUGAGCAGAGCUGGGCGAGGCUGGAGGGUCAGCUAUGGGCCCUCGAGAUGGGUCAGCCGAGAGUGACCAGACUGCUCUCUAGGGUGUGAGGGUAAGGUGGGCAUGGCUGCUGUGCAGCUAGCCCCCGGCCAGACUUUCGACGGGGAGAAGUUGUACCAGCACGUUCGCGCUUGGCUCCCUGCCUACGCUACCCCCCAUUUCAUCCGCAUCCAGGACGCCAUGGAGGUCACCAGCACGUUCAAACUGAUGAAGACCCGGUUGGUGCGUGAGGGCUUCAAUGUGGGGAUCGUGGUUGACCCUCUGUUUGUACUGGACAACCGGGCCCAGUCCUUCCGGCCCCUGACGGCAGAAAUGUACCAGGCUGUGUGUGAGGGAACCUGGAGGCUCUGACCACCUGGCCAACCCACUGCGGUAGGGAUCAAAGCCAGCC
rnacentral:sRNA from 1 species